rnacentral:rRNA from 1 species
CGGUGGAGCAUGUGGUUUAAUUCGACGCAACGCGAAGAACCUUACCUGGGCUUGACAUGCGCGGGAAACCCCGGGGAAACCGGGCCUCCGGACAGGUGUGACGAGCGCAACCCCUGUCUCUAGUUGCCAGCGGGACGUCAAGUAUCAUGGUCCUUACGCCCAGGCCACAUACAUGGCGGGGACACGGGUCGCGAGGCCGCGAGGCCGAGCCUCCCCAAACCCCGCCUCAGUUCGGAUUGUCCUGCAACCCGAGGGCAUGAAGCUGGAAUCGCUAGUAAUCGGGAUCAGCUACGCCACGGUGAAUACGUUCCCGGGCCUUGUACACACCGCCGCCACGCCAUGGAAGCGGCGAGCGCCCGAAGUCCGUGCAGGAACCUCUCACGAGGGCCGAGCGGCCGAAGCGAGCGUCGUGACUGGGGCGAAGUCGUACAAGGU